rnacentral:rRNA from 1 species
AUUGAACGCUGGCGGCAGGCUUAACACAUGCAAGUCGAACGAGUGGCGGACGGGUGAGUAAUGUCUGGGCAACUGCCUGAUGGAGGGGGAUCACUACUGGAAACGGUAGCUCAUACCGCAUACCAUCAUCUUUGCCCAGGUGGGAUUAGCUAGUGGGUGGGGUAUGGGCUCACUUGGGCGACGAUCCCUAGCUGGUCUGAGAGGAUGACCGGCCAAACGGGAACGGAGACAAGGUCAAGACUCCUACGGGAGGCAGCAGGGGGGAAUAUUGGACAAUGGGCGCAAGCCGGAUGCAGCAAUGCGGGGUGUGGGAAGAAGGCCUUCGGGUUGGAAAGAACUUUCAGAGGGGAGGCGUUACCGGCAGAAGAAGCACCGGCUAACUACGUGCCAGCAGCCGCGGUAAUAC